rnacentral:lncRNA from 1 species
CUGUCGCCCAGGCUGGAGUGCGUGUCGCAAUCUCGGCUCACUGCAAGCUCCGCCUCCCGGGUUCAUGCCAUUCUCCUGCCUCAGCCUCCGGAGUAGCUGGGACUACAGGCACCUGCCACCACGCCCAGCUAAUUUUUUGUAUUUUUUAGUGUUAGCCAUGAUGGUCUUGAUCUCCUGACCUCAUGAUCCGCCUGCCUCGGCCUCCCAAAGUACUGGGAUUACAGGCGUGAGCCACUGCGCCCGGCGGCAAUGUACUUCUAUAGACGGGUGCGCCCUCACAGAUGGAGCAAUGUAGAAACAGGGUUUCACCAUGUUGGUCACGUUGGUCUCAAACUCCUGAUUUCAAGUGAUUCACCCACCUCAGCCUCCCAAACUGUCAGGCCUCUGAGCCCAAGCUAAGCCAUCAUAUCCCCUGUGACCUGCACGUAUACAUCCAGAUGGCCUGAAGCAACUGAAGAUCCACAAAAGAAGCGAAAAUAGCCUUAACUGAUGACAUUCCACCAUUGUGAUUUGUUUCUGCCCCAUCCUAACAGAUCAAUGUAUUUUGUAAUCUCCCCCACCCUUAAGAAGGUUCUUUGUAAUUCUCCCCACCCUUAAGAAGGUUCUUUGUAAUCUCCCCCACCCUUAAGAAGGUUCUUUGUAAUUCUCCCCACCCUUGAGAAUGUACUUUGUGAGAUCCACCCCCUGCCCGCAAAACAUUGUUCCGCGGAGCCUCUCCCAAAACCUAUAAGAAUUAAAGAUAAUCCCACCACCCUUUGCUGACUCUCUUUUCGGACUCAGCCCGCCUGCACCCAGGUGAAAUAAACAGUCUUGUUGCUCACGCAAAGCUUGUUUGGUGGUCUCUUCACACGGAUGCGCGUGACACAAAGUGCUGGGGUUACAGGCCUGAGCCACCACACCUGGCCACCCCCAAUCUUUAAGAAUAUUCUGGCCGGGCGCGGUGGCUCAUGCCUGUAAUCCCAGCACUUUGGGAGGCUAAGGCGGGCGGAUCAAGAGGUCAGGAGAUCGAGACCAUCCUGGCUAACAUGGUGAAACCCCGUCUCUACUAAAAUACAAAAAAU